rnacentral:misc_RNA from 1 species
GCAAUGCAUGCUAGACCGUGACACUUGAUGGCCCUCACUUGGAUUUCCUCUUGUUGGACACAUGAACGUUUCCUGCCCAAAUAUAGACAGUUAAAGAGGUGGAAGACAACGAGACUAAAAGCCUAUAAAUCCCUCAAUAAAAUGCAUCAUCAUUGAUAUAAGUGGUUUGAAAUAAUUCUUCUUCUUUCUUCUUCUGCUUCCUCUUUUAUUUAUUUAUUUAUUUUCCUUCUCUGCUUUGUCGUCUUCUUUUUUCCCACUCAGGCAUAUAUGGUAGGGAAGCUGGGAAUUGGGAGGUGUAGUUAUCUCCUCAAAUCAUGCAAAAGAAAUUAUUUAUCCUCCACAAGACAGCCAACAUGAAACAUUUUGACGCCCCAGUAUAUACAUAUUGGCAAUAAUUGUGAAUUAUGUCAAGGACAUAAGGCAAACUGAGCCAUACAAGAUUUUGAAACCAUCAGAAAAUGAAUGGACUAGAGGAAACUGCAGGAGAGUGAUCAACCACUCAUUAAGAUCAAAAUUGUAGAAAUGUUCCACAUUAGAGGGUUGCAUAUGAGAAGGAACUUGUGAUCAGAAACUAAUCAGGGAGAAGAAAUAUACAUGUAAAAUAAAAAGGCAAGACACUAAUUAAAUUUCAUCACAGAAAUCCAAAGAAAGAUACAGAACUCGUAAAAUUUCCUUAAGAUAUUCAUUGCUCUUUUGAAAAAUAAUGCAUCUCAAUUAUAUCUAUAAAGUCCAAGUAAGAUAUUCAAAUUCAAUUUUUGACUAGAUUUAGAUACACAUUGCUAUAGUUACAACCAUAAUAAACCAAUGCCUGCAUCUGUGAUCAAAAUCAGGAAAACUGAGUACCAUAAUCUACAAGAACCUUCUCAAACAUGAUAUCAGAGACCAUCACACAGAAGCCAGAGAAUUCAUCAGAUUGUUGGGGAGGCUUAAGUACUUUAGCAGUUGGGUAUAGAUUUGAUAGUUCAAAUCCCAUUCAACAUACAACAGUAUGUCAAUAACACUACCCAUUAUUCCGUACCAGCUAUCGAGUAAACAUAAAAACAAGUUGCGGGUACUUACAGAAAAGUUGAAUUUGUGUUUCUUGUGAAUUAAGGGCCUCCAUCCUAGAAAAAAGCCAGAAAUGAAGUAAGAAUCAAUGAAAUAAACUUGAAAAAAGCAACCUAGAGGAAAUUUGAUAUACUCCCCAUAAAUGCUCUUCUGAAACGGAAGAAUUAGAUAUGAAAUGCAUAUAGUUGACGGAACCUCUUAUAUGGGUGUUGCUGAAGAGCAAGGAACACAUUGCCAUUGCGGGGAGAGGCAGUGUUAUCCGUUUAACGAACCUCUGGUUCUAUCCGAUUUUAUUGGAAACUAAAACGGCUCCGUUUCCUAGUUCUCAUAAACAGUUGUAAUUUUAAUUAAUUAAUUUGUUUAUGGUGCAAAAGCAGAACAAUAGACCAGGGUCUUUGCCUGCAGAGAAACAAUGGUUAUCAAACAAGAAGCUAAACUAGAAGCUGAGAGAAGCAAAGGCAG